UACGGAGGGUCCAAGCGUUAUCCGGAAUCAUUGGGUUUAAAGGGUCCGUAGGCGGCUUAGUAAGUCAGUGGUGAAAGCCCAUCGCUCAACGGUGGAACGGCCAUUGAUACUGCUAAACUUGAAUUAUUAGGAAGUAACUAGAAUAUGUAGUGUAGCGGUGAAAUGCUUAGAUAUUACAUGGAAUACCAAUUGCGAAGGCAGGUUACUACUAAUGGAUUGACGCUGAUGGACGAAAGCGUGGGUAGCGAACAGG
rnacentral:rRNA from 1 species